rnacentral:rRNA from 1 species
UAAAAAGUUUUUUCUGCAUUAAAUGAAUCCCUAAACAUCAAAACUAAAAAUGGACGUUUAAUAACGAAAAAUUGUAGGUGAGUAGUUUUUUUGCUGAGAACCUCGAUUUUCCAUUUUAUGGGAGACCAAAUUUCGUUUGAUUGAAGUUUAUUUUAAUCGUUGAUUAAAAUAUAUAAACUUAGUGAAUUGAACCAUCUAAGUAACUAAGGAAAAAAUCAACAGAGAUAUUGUAAGUAGCGGCGAGCGAACGCGGUAAAAAGGCUAUAGAAUUUUCAAUCAUACUUAAUAUUUAAAUAGCCGUAGAAGGAGAAAGCCCUGUAAGGUGAAAAAUUUGAAAAUUUAAAAAAGUAAAUUGAUGCAUGUUAUGCGUUGAUUGAAUAUUGGGGUACCAUCCUCAAAGUCUAAAAGUUUUGAUGCUUGAUAGUGAAUUAGUACUGUGAAGGAAAGGUGAAAAAGAAUUCAUGAAAAUUGAAAAGACAUUGAAAUUUAAUGCUAACAAGCAGUUAGAGCUCUUUAUUACGAGUGACAACGUAUCUUUUGUAUAAUAGAUCAACAAGUUUAUUUUAGUGGCGAGCUUACGCAAAUUAAAAAGUGCAGGCACAAAGAAAUUAAGUUCUAAAAUGUUAAAUGUAGUCUCUAAAAUAAAACCCGAAACUGAGUGAUCUAACCAUGGGCAGGUUGAAUUUGAAGCGGUAACGCUCAUCGGAGGGCCGAACUCGUGUAUGUGGAAAAAUAUUGAGAUGACCUGUGGUUAGGAGUGAAAGGCUAAUCAAACUCAGAGAUAGCUGGUUUUCUGCGAAAUCUAUUUAAGUAGAGCGUUUAAAAUUCUUCAUUUUGAGGUAGAGCUCUCGAUAAGCGAUGGGAAUGAAAAUUUUACUGAAUUUAGUGAAACUUCGAAUACAAAAUAAAAUGUUUUAAGCAGACAGACUAUGAGUGCUAAGAUUCAUAGUCAAGAGGGAAACAGCCCAGACUGAUGGUUAAGGUCCUUGAAAGUGAUUAAGUGGUAAAAACGUAUAAAAACUCUGACAACCAGUAGGUCAGCUUAGAAGCAGCUAGCUUUUAAAGAGUGCGUAAUUGCUCACUGGUCUAGUUUUUUCGCGUUGAAAAUGUAGAGGGACUUAAAUUACUUGCCGAAAUUGUAGAUUUAAGUCAAUGAUCUUAAAUGGUAGCAGAACGUUCUGUAAAUUUAAAAAGGUUUAUGGUGAUAUAAACUGAAGAAAUCAGAAGUGAGAAUGUUGAUAUGAGUAGCGAUAAACAAUGUGGAAAACAUUGUCGCCUUAAGUCUGAGGUUUCCAAAUCAAGGUUAAUCCGUUUUGGUGUAGUUAAUCGGUCUCUAAGAAAAUUAAACGAAAGUUUAUUUUGAUGGGUAAGGAAAUUAUUAAUUUUAUAUUUUUUAUAAGUGACAAAACAUUAAUAAUAUAUUUAUUUUAUGGUUUGAAUGAAUGUUUUAUAGUCUUUUCAAGAAAUAGCUUUAAAAAUUAAAACCGUACUUAAACCGACACAGGUGGACAAAUUUAGUAAAUUAAGGCGCUUGAGAGAAUUGCGUUGAAGGAACUCGGCAAAAUGACUUCGUAACUUCGGGAUAAGAAGUAACUUUAUUAGGGUAACCUUACAAAGUUGUCACAGAAUCGGGGACAGCGACUGUUUAUUAAAAACACAGGUCUCUGCGAAUUUGAAAAAAGAUGUAUUGAGGCUGACGCCUGCCCAGUGCUGCAAGAUUAAAGGAAAGGGUCAUUUGGCUCUAACCCUAAACCCCAGUAAACGGCGGCUGUAACUUGACGGUCCUAAGGUAGCGAAAUUCCUUGGCAUUUAAUUGGUGUCCUGCAUGAAUGGCGUAACGACUGUCCCACUGUCUCCAGCACAAACUCAGCGAAAUUGAAUUUUCCGUGAAGAUGCGGAAUACUUGCGGCCAGACGGAAAGACCCUGUGCACUUUUACUACAGUUAUACAUUGUGCUAAAAAAUUUUAUGUGUAGCAUAAGUGGUUGUUGUUUUGAUUAAGUAAAUAAUGAAAGUAACCUUUCACGUAAGUGAAUAGAUUAAACUAAAAUGAAAUACCACUCUUAAAAGUUUUUAUCACUAAUUUGUCAAGACAGUUUAUAAUGGGUAGUUUGACUGGGGCGGUCGCCUCCAAAAAAGUAACGGAGGCGUACAAAGGUAAGUUUAAGUUGAAAAACAUCGAUUCGUAAGCGCAAUAGUAAAUACUUGCUUGACUGCAAGAUUGACAAAUCGAACAGGGACGAAAGUCAGUUAUAGUGAUCCGAUGAUUUUGGGUGGAAACGAUCAUCGCUCAACGAAUAAAAAGUACGCCAGGGAUAACAGGCUAAUCAUUCUCUAGAGACCUUAUCGACGGAAUGGUUUGGCACCUCGAUGUUGGAUUAUCGCAUCCUGGAGCUGUAAUCGGCUCCAAGGGUUUGGCUGUUCGCCAAGGAAGGCGGUACAUGAUCUGAGUUUAGAACGUCGUAAGACAGUUUUGUCCCUAUCUACCGCAGGUGUUGAAAACUGAAAGGAUUAAACCUUAGUACGAGAGGACCGGGAAAAGCGAAUCUCUGGUAAAUCGAUUGUUAGACCAAUAGCAUCGUCGAAUAGCUAAAUUCGUAAUAAAUAAUUACUGAAAGCAUCUAAGUGAGAAAUUAACCUUAAAACUAGUUUUCCAACAAAUGUAGAAGAUGACUACAUUGAUAGACUUAGAGUGUAUGAAUUGUAAAGUUUUUAGCUUGGAAGCACUAAAAAAUUAAAGGAUUAAAACUUUUUA